rnacentral:lncRNA from 1 species
CCCCACUCUGAAUACAAGGACAGAUGGUCACCAAUUUGUUGAAUGCAUCAAGAUAGUAUCUAGUUUGCAGGCUGAUCCAAUGCAACCACUCAUGUUUCAACCCAACGGAGAUCAAUGGUGCCAUAGCUACAUGUAUGUAGUAUUGAAAUAUUUGAUAUGAGGGAGGUGAAUGAGUCAUUUUUGGUUGUUGCAUCAUUGACUUUUGGGUAAUUGUAGUCAUGAUUUCAGGUCUUUGGUCCUUAGUUAAGCACCCAUUCAGUCUCUUUUGAGUAUUUUUGAAUGAGCCCUUUGGUGAGGUUUGUUGCAUUUCAAAACACACUGAUCACAAUGAUUGGCUAGUUGGGUCAAAUGGCCAGAAGUCUAAAAGUCUAAAACCCUCAACUUGAAAAUGGCAGUUGGAACUAAUGGAAAUAAGAGUUUGGGUACUAAGGCAUUAAUAACUAAAUUAUAUGGCUAGCAAUACAAAUUAUCUUCCAGAGUGACCAUAAAACGAAUGCUCUCCUUGUUCUGUGAUCCAGAGCUCCGAAAGUCAAAUGUAGUUUAUAAUGGUUCAAUCAGUAGUAAGGCAGGUUGGAAUGGCUAGCUCGCUUUAACUUCAUACAGUAAGGCUGGUCAGAAUGGCUAGCUCGCUUUAACUUCAUACAGUAAGGCUGGUUGGAAUGGCUAGCUCGCUUUAACUUCAUACAGUAAGGCUGGUUGGAAUGGCUAGCUCGCUUUCACUUCAUACAGUAAGGCUGGUUGGAAUGGCUAGCUCGCUGUAACUUCAUACAGUAAGGCUGGUCAGAAUGGCUAGCUUGCUUUAACUUCAUACAGUAAGGCUGGUCAGAAUGGCUAGCUCGCUUUAACUUCAUACAGUAAGGCUGGUUGGAAUGGCUAGCUCGCUUUUACUUCAUACAGUAAGGCUGGUCAGAAUGGCUAGCUCGCUUUAACUUCAUACAGUAAGGCUGGUCGGAAUGGCUAGCUCGCUGUAACUUCAUACAGUAAGGCUGGUCUGAAUGGCUAGCUCGCUUUAACUUCAUACAGUAAGGCUGGUCGGAAUGGCUAGCUCGCUGUAACUUCAUACAGUAAGGCUGGUCUGAAUGGCUAGCUCGCUUUAACUUCAUACAGUAAGGCUGGUCUGAAUGGCUAGCUCGCUUUAACUUCAUACAGUAAGGCUGGUCUGAAUGGCUAGCUCGCCUUAACUUCAUACAGUAAGGCUGGUCUGAAUGGCUAGCUCGCUUUAACUUCAUACAGUAAGGCUGGUCAGAAUGGCUAGCUCGCUUUAACUUCAUACAGUAAGGCUGGUCUGAAUGGCUAGCUCGCCUUAACUUCAUACAGUAAGGCUGGUCAGAAUGGCUAGCUCGCUUUAACUUCAUACAGUAAGGCAUAAUAUAAUGAACAUAGUUUCCUAUUCUACAGGCAUUGUGGCAUACAUAAGUAUAUAAGUGUUUACAAACGUUAUCAUCUGCAUAGCAUCAAGUCUCUCUUCCUCUUUUAAUAUUAGCCACGUGCAGAAUGUCAUUCACCUAUAUUACCUUAUAUACCCUAUAAGCAAGGCACAAUAAUGCACAUUCCUCACACUUGCUGUUUAACCAAUGGUCACACUUUUGCAAUUAUCACCUUUCUCUCUCUCAACCAAUGGGCAUAAAUCUUGGAAUGUAUUUAUAUGUCAAAUUUACCCAUGUUUUCUUACUUGCUGCAUUACAG